GAUGAACGCUGGCGGCGUGCUUAACACAUGCCAGUCGAACGGAAAGGCUCCUGCUUGCAGGGGUACUCGAGUGGCGAACGGGUGAGUAACACGUGGGUGAUCUGCCCUGCACUUCGGGAUAAGCCUGGGAAACUGGGUCUAAUACCGGAUAGGACCACAUUUUGGAUGGUGUGGUGGAAAGUUUUUCGGUGUGGGAUGAGCUCGCGGCCUAUCAGCUUGUUGGUGGGGUAAUGGCCUACCAAGGCGUCGACGGGUAGCCGGCCUGAGAGGGUGUACGGCCACAUUGGGACUGAGAUACGGCCCAGACUCCUGCGGGAGGCAGCAGUGGGGAAUAUUGCACAAUGGGCGCAAGCCUGAUGCAGCGACGCCGCGUGGGGGAUGACGGCCUUCGGGUUGUAAACUCCUUUCGCUAGGGACGAAGCGCAAGUGACGGUACCUGGAGAAGAAGCACCGGCUAACUACGUG
rnacentral:rRNA from 1 species